GGCCCCAUCGUCUAGUGGUUAGGACGCCAGGUUUUCAUCCUGGUAACAGGAGUUCGAUUCUCCUUGGGGCUGCUA
rnacentral:tRNA from 1 species